rnacentral:lncRNA from 1 species
CUCGAGGUGGGUGGUGCAUUUCAAGGACAUCGAAAAUCUCUCUAUGUCUAAGUGUCAUACUUUGAGCAUUUAUGCAUUUUGAGCAUCUUGCAUAAUAGGGUUAAUUGUGAGUUCUUUUAUAUAGUCUAAUGUGAAUUCAAAUGCAUGUUAAAUGUUUGUAAGAAUGUGAGAAUGAUGAUCCCUAUGUAUGCAUGAUUGUGACAAGAACCUAGAAGGGUUAGUAAACGAAAAGUGACACUUUGACAUAGAUUUAGCAAGUGACAUCGACGGGUCUAGAACACUUAGUAAACAAGUGUGGCAUUUGACGUGAGAACAAGAAUAUAGAACACUUAGCAAACAAGUGUGGCAUGAGUACAAGAACUUGAUAGCGUAUAUGACAUUGGUGAUAGAAAAGAAUGCAAGAACAAAAACGACCGAGAUAUUAUGACAUUCAACCUUAGUGUUAAGAGUCAUUUGAGCAUAGUCUUCCUUAAAGUUAAGGAAUGGAUUGAACUUGGAAUCCUCNNNNNNNNNNNNNNNNNNNNNNNNNGCGUUGGUUGUUCAACCGACGCUAUUGGAGAAGAUUAAAGAGUUGCAAGCUUCAGAUGAAUAUCUACAAAAGGUGCGUGGGGAAGUUGAGAGCGGUAGUGCCGAUGACUUUGGCAUUGGGACCGACGGCGCACUCCGGUUUAGAAACCGUUGGUGUGUGCCUAAGAAUAAGGACAUCCGCAGGGCGAUCAUGCAAGAGGCGCACCAAUCCCCUUAUAGUAUACACCCGGGCGGCACCAAAAUGUAUCAAGAUUUGAAGUUACAUUAUUGGUGGCCGGGCAUGAAAAAGGACAUUUGGGAGUAUGUUGCGCAGUGCCUUACUUGCCAACAAGUCAAGGCUGAGCGGAGGUUCCCGGCGGGGAAGUUGCAAAGUCUCCCUAUACCGGUUUGGAAAUGGGAGAAUAUCGCGAUGGACUUCGUGACCGGGUUGCCCCGAUCUCAAGGUGGACAUGAUGCCAUUUGGGUAAUAGUAGACCGGUUGACGAAGUCGGCGCAUUUCCUGCCGAUCCACAUUACUUGGUCGGGAGACAAAUUGGCUCAAGUGUAUAUCGACGAUAUCGUGAGACUUCAUAGGGUUCCGGUGUCUAUCGUGUCGGAUCGGGGCCCGAGGUUCACCUCUCACUUUUGGAGGAGCCUACAGGAGGCUUUGGGCACGCGGCUCGACUUUAGCACGGCAUUUCAUCCUCAAAGUGAUGGUCAAUCGGAGAGGACAAUACAAAUACUCGAGGAUAUGCUUCGAGCGUGUGUGCUGGAUUAUAAGGGCAAUUGGUAUGAUCACCUUCCGAUGGCGGAGUUCGCGUACAAUAACAGUUAUCAAGAAAGUAUCGCGAUGGCGCCAUUCGAGGCCCUUUAUGGAAAGAAAUGUCGCUCCCCAAUUCAUUCGAGGCCCUUUAUGGAAAGGGCGGCACUUGGCCCCGAUGUAGUGCGGGAGGCGGAAGAGAAGGUUCGUCUUGCACGCCAACGACUUGCUACGGCGCAAUCUCGGCAAAAGAGUUAUGCCGAAAAACGAAGGAAAGAUAUAGAGUUUGCCAUUAGAGACCACGUGUUUCUAAAGAUUUCGCCGAUGAGAGGGAUCAAACGGUUUGGAAUCCGUGGGAAGCUAAGUCCCCGGUAUCUUGGACCGUUCGAGAUACUAGAGCGGGUCGGCACGGUGGCGUACAAGAUAGUAUUACCACCGAGGCUUGCGGGAGUACAUGACGUGUUCCAUGUAUCGAACCUCCGCAAGUAUGUUCAUGACCCCGAUCAUGUUCUCUCGUUUGAACCAUCCGAGAUUCAAGAGGACAUGACCUAUGAGGAGUUCCCGGCAUGCAUCAUCGACCGAGGAGUAAGAAAACUACGAAAUCGCGAGAUUUCGUAUGUUAAAAUUCGUUGGUGUAAUCACGACGACCGGGAAGCUACUUGGGAGCUCGAGAGCGCGAUGACGGAACAUUACCCUCAUCUCUUCGAUGAGUUGAACUGAGGUAUGAGAUUUAAGUUAAAUUAAGUUAGUUUCGCGGACGAAACUAAUUAUAAGGGGUGGAGAAUGUAACGUAUCAAAACCCGAAAACGAUAUUCGAACUUUGACCAAAUUGGUUAAAGCGUCGAAAGAAGGCGAUGAACCAGUUCCUCUUGCAUUCCAACGAGUUGGAAGGGGGAAAAAUGAGUUUGGAAAGACUUAGAAUGCUUUUAGUAUCGACCGGCGCGAAAUAGAGCCGAAGAAAAGCGAAAAAUAGCAUUCUGGAGCUAUUGUACCGGUACAAGGUGAUGGCUGUACCCGUACAACCAUCACGGAACAGUGCUCUGGUUGCUGUACCGGUACAAGGUCUCCUUGUACCGGAACAAGCCCGACGAAACCGAGAACCGAGCUCUCGGGUUUGGCCUGCUAAUUGGCCUUGUACCGGUACAAGACCCCGUGUACUGGUACAAGAGGCUCCAGACAGCCCAGUGAGACUUGUUGCAAAUAAGAAGAAAUAGAGGGUUUAGUUGCAAUUGUAGCAACAUGUUAACACCCCAACCCCUCUCUUUCUCCCUCCCACAGCCACUCAUCUCCCCCUCUCUCAUUCCUCUCAUUUCUCUCUUUCUCUCUCUAGAACCAAACCCUAGAGCUAAGGAGAAGGUGGAGAGGAGCUAGGAGAAGGAGAUUUUGGAGCUUUGGAGGGUCAAGAAGCUCUCCAACAAGAAGGAGCUUGCUAGGGCUUGGACAAAGGUGAGUUUAAUCACUUAUUUGAGUCUAGGGUUUGGAUUUUAACCCAAAGUUUUAGGGUUUUGAGCUUGUUUCUAGAUUUAGAAACCUUGGGGACCCAUGAAACCAUGAAAUCCAUGGUUUUCAUGAAGCCCUCUCAUGGUGGAUCACUAGGGCUCAAAGUAGAUGCCCUAGGGAUGGUUCAAAUGGGUUAAGGAGGGUAUUAGAAAGCUUCUAGGUUGAUUCUAAGCUAUCUUUUGCUUAGCAAUGAGAUCGAUCUAGGGGAUAUGCCAAAUGACAUUGUUAGGGUUUGAAAAUUGGGGCUUUUGCCCUAGAAUUUUUCGGGGACAAAUUGAACCCGUAGAAACCUAAUUGGGGGUGUCCUAAACGCGUUGGACAACUCCGUUUAAGCAUUCGAAAAUGUUGGAAAAUAGUUCAUGUACAUAGGGCCUAAUUGGCACUAUUUUGGUUGUAGGACACGAGUUCGACGUCCGUGUGGCGCACGAGACUUCACACCUUGCUUCUACUACCCCUCGAGGUGGGUGGUGCAUUCCAAGGACAUCGGAAAUCUCUCUAUGUCUAAGUGUCAUACUUUGAGCAUUUAUGCAUUUUGAGCAUCUUGCAUAAUAGGGUUAAUUGUGAGUUCUUUUAUAUAGUCUAAUGUAAAUUCAAAUGCAUGUUAAAUGUUUGUAAGAAUGUGAGAAUGAUGAUCCCUAUGUAUGCAUGAUUGUGACAAGAACCUAGAAGGGUUAGUAAACGAAAAGUGACACUUUGACAUAGAUUUAGCAAGUGACAUCGACGAGUCUAGAACACUUAGUAAACAAGUGUGGCAUUUGACGUGAGAACAAGAAUAUAGAACACUUAGUAAACAAGUGUGGCAUGAGUACAAGAACUUGAUAGCGUAUAUGACAUUGGUGAUAGAAAAGAAUGCAAGAACAAGAACGACCGAGAUAUUAUGACAUUCAACCUUAGUGUUAAGAGUCAUUUGAGCAUAGUCUUCCUUAAAGUUAAGGAAUGGAUUGAACUUGGAAUCCUCGAAUGUAGGAUUGAUCGUACUCACAUUAGUCCUUGCUCGAGGUUGUGGUAGCUCCCCCUCGGGCGAUGUGCUCCGGAGUCGACAUCACUGG